UCUGGCUUUUUAUCCACAAAGGGCCUGAAAUCUCCUCACCAUGCUCUGGGCUCCCCUCAUCCUCCUGCUGGGGACGUGGUGCACAGGUUCUAGCUCACAGCCUGUGCUGACUCAGCCGCCCUCAAUAUCAGUGUCCCCAGGAAACACUGUGAAACUCUCCUGCACCAUGAGCAGUGGGACCAGCAUCAGUGACUACUAUGUGUACUGGUACCAGCAGAAACCUUGGAAUUCUCCACGAUACCUGCUGUAUUACUAUACGGAUUCCAGCAAGGGCCAGGGCUCUGGGGUCCCUGCUCGCUUUUCUGGUUCCAAAGACACAUCCAGCAACGUCGCCUAUUUGACCAUCUCCGGGGUCCUGGCAGAGGAUGAGGCUGAUUAUUACUGUGCUGUGUGGCAUAACAAUGCUUGUCACAGUGACACAGACAGAUGGGGAAGUGAGAAAAAAACUUCCCCUCCCCAAACCUGGGCCCUGCAAAAAUCCACCAACUGCAGAGUUUUCUCUCCAGCCUAA